UUUGUGAAGGGGUAGAGCUGUUCCCAGCCUGAAGUUCAUCUGCUGCCUGCUGCAAAACUAACACAUCCAGGAGAGUUAGUGAGAAGAGUAUAAGGAGUUUUCAAGGACCAAGGCUCUGAAAUGCUAAGAAAAUGAUGCAGCUUGAUGGCUACUGGACCACCUGGUGUGACAAGUGGAUGAGGAGCUUUCUCCUAACAAUAAUGAUGUUAAUGAAGACCUCUCCGGUCAAGAUGACUGUUUAUUGGGCGCAGGGUCCUGAUCCACCUCUACUACAUCUAGUUUCCUGGGAUUAUUCAGAAGUCAUUGGGAAAUUGUUAUAAAUUAUUAAUGGUCUUAUUCAGAGAGAAAACAAAGUUAGACUUCUUUUCCUUUUCCUUUUUCUUUUUGUCUAUCUUUCUUAGAUAAGGAGAAAAGGGGAGGAAAAGAAAAAAGGGGACUAUAGGGAUAUCUUAUAGAAAGGAUAAGACAAAAGGUAGAUUAUUGAAUCUACUCAAGUUAAGGCUUUAUUUGUUAUACUCACAAUAGUUUAUUUUUUAACUCUGGUAUAGGAUUUUGUAUAUCGAUGCAAAAAUAAUUCUAUUUUUAAUACAUUGGUAAAUUUUGGCAUAUUAAUUCAAAUCCAAGGUUGUUAAUAAUAAUAAUAAUAAUGAUAAUAAUAAUAUAAUUUUAAACUGCUAUUACAAACUAGGGUAUUAGGUAAUGCAAGUUAAUUUUUAGUUAAUUAACUCAUAGUCAUGUCAGACAUUAGUCUAAUUUAUCACAGGAGUAUACAUCUUAAGAUUAACAGACAGAUAAGAUUUUGUAGACAGGUCGAUUACAUAAAGAUAAGUAAGUCUUCAAAAACUUCAGAGACCUACAGAAUAUGUCAUUUAAAAAUGUCUUUAUUAAUUUAAAGAUUCUUUGAUAAUGAAACAGGUCAUCUCUUUGCAACAUCCAUCUCACCUCAAAGAAGAUAAUGAGCAUCAAAGAACCUCCACAUGGAGAUGGCAUCAAAUGUGGAAGCCAGCCACACGGGGAGGGAAAAUGCCCUCAUUUCAUGACAGAGCAUUCUGCCGAAAAUGGUCAACGAUGUGCACUGGAGAGAAUACAUCCUGGUCCAGAGGGGAGGAGAAGGAAGUGAAUAGAAAGAGGGAGAUCUGGAAGACAGGACUUGGAAGCAGGAGGAGAGAUGAAUCGGAUCUACGAUAUGACUAAA